rnacentral:rRNA from 1 species
UAGGGAAUCUUCCGCAAUGGACGCAAGUCUGACGGAGCAACGCCGCGUGAGUGAAGAAGGGUUUCGGUUCGUAAAACUCUGUUGUUAGAGAAGAACAGCGUAUAGAGUAACUGUUAUGCGUGUGACGGUAUCUAACCAGAAAGCCACGGCUAACUACUUGCCAGCAGCCGCGGUAAUACGUAGGUGGCAAGCGUUGUCCGGAUUUAUUGGGCGUAAAGCGAGCGCAGGCGGUCAAUUAAGACUGAUGUGAACGCCCCCGGCUCAACCGGAGAGGGUCAUUUGAAUCUGAAUGACUUGAGUGCAGAAGGGGAGAGUGGACUUCCAUGUGUAGCGGUGAAAUGCGUAGAUAUAUGGAGGAACACCAGUGGCGAAGGCGGCUCUCUGGUCUGUAACUGACGCCGAGGCUCGAAAGCGUGGGUAGCACACAGG